rnacentral:lncRNA from 1 species
CCAUCAACACAUCCCAUAAUCAGUACAAUACGUAUAUUCAAGUCGACAGCCACUUCAUGAAAAACUUGAGAGUUGACCAAUUUAUACACCAUUUGUGUGCUUGCACGGUUAGUUGGCUGACGUGCUUACUAAAAGACUUAGUAGCCCACUAUUUCAAAUAUUGUACCAAACUAGGCAUGAAGAUCACCUAUUCACCAGCAUGAAAGGAAAUGUGGGAAAAGGGAAGUGUAU